rnacentral:pre_miRNA from 1 species
AACCACCGCAGGCUGCCGGCCCCCAGGCUGGGCUAGGCGAGUAUCUCUUCGAAAGGCUCACCCUCAAGCAUGAUUAAGAGC